rnacentral:lncRNA from 1 species
CCUAAAGCAAGAUACGGUGUUCAUAUGUUAUUUGUCUCCUACAUUUGAGAUUAUUGUGAGGCCAUAAGUUAUGGAAGAGAGUUGUUGGGGCAAAGGCUUAGUCGUUUUAUUCUGCCAAAGAACUUUAUGUAUCGAGAAAGGUUUCAGCAUUUAGAUUGAUAUUGGAUAAUCGUGAAUGAAACAUAUAUUGAGAAACUACUUGUUCGAACCAAGCACUUUAACAAAUUGAAAAGAGGCAUAUUAAUUAAACUAUUACUAUCAAAAGAAAUGAAUAUAUUAACUAAUCAUCACCCUAGUGUGUCCAGGCUUAAAGCAUUGGGCUUAAAACCCUAGCCCAGAGACCUGGUGUCCGUACUUGCUUAACCAAAACCCAGCUUGGCCGAUUUGAAAGUCCAAACCACUUCCCGUAAGUGCCCUGAUGGAAUAGGUUCUAAAAAAAUAAUAGUACACAUUUGAAAUCUUCAAAAUUAGGCACAAUGAACUUAAAUCGGAAUAUGUAAAGCUAAAUAAGGGAUUAAAUUUACAAAUAUCGCCAAUUCUAUAGCUACUGUUCACAGUAUGACGAUUUUACAACAAUAGCCAAAUCCCAACCCACACUUUCAUUUCAUUCUUCACAUUCUUUCAAUGAGACCUUGCCUUUAUCACCUAUUGGUUAUAUCAUUUCUUCUUGAGCCGACUUUAAUUCAUAAUCACAAGUAUAAAGGUGUUAUCAUUAAAUCACACAAAACACCCGAGUUAAUUCUAGAACCAUAUGAGCUCAAUGGAUUUUGAUACUUCAUGCUUUAAACAUUACUUGACUCCUAACAUCAGGAAUUGCAUAAGAAAACUAAAGAUCACAUUCAUUAUGAAACUAAAACUAUCAUUUGAAUAGCACGUUAUAGCAACUCAAUCAAAGAUAGACCAGUCUAACAAUUGAAAAACAACACACGAAAUCAGAUGUAAACACAGCCAAAUCAUUCGACUCUUCAUUAGCACAUUCAAAUAGAGUUACAAAUGGAGUUUUACAUACCUAGAAGCAAAAUCAAUAGAUGAAGUUGAAAAAUAAGAAUCAGAGAUGGAAGUGAAGAUCCAACAAGCAAUACAACAACAAGCUCACAAUCAAACAAAACAGUUCCACAGCUUGAAAGCAAUUCAAAAUCCUAGAAAGAGGGUGAUGCAAAAAACUAGUAAAAAUUGAAGAGCCAAAUAACUUUCGUAUUUUUUUUCUAUCUAUUUUUGAAAGGAACCUAAAUUUCAAAGAGAAUUUUUUGUGUCAAAUUCCGUGUGAGAAUGAGAAGAGGAAUUCCUUUUUUAUAGAAUGUGAGCACGUGUACAUGAUAGGGAAUGAGAGAGAGAUUAAAAGGAAUCUGUCAGCCCCUUAAUUUUAGGGGAAAUAGCAUUUUAACAAAAGAAAUGGACAACUGUCUAAUUUCUAAAUAUUUUUUCUCAUUCUCAGCUCUUUUCUUAACAAAUUAGGACAACUUUCCCUUUCUAAAAACUUCUUUAUUCCCAAAAACUUUUAAACUUUUUAAAUUUUAAUUUUUACCCCAAGUUUUGAAUUUAUUUCCCAUUUUAAUGUAUUUUCAACCAAACAAAACAAAUUCCUUUGUUUUUUAAUUUCUUAGACUCCUGAAUUUCAGUAAUUACAAACAACUAUCACAAAAACUCAGAUGAAUUAAAAAUCAUAGCACAACAAGCAAUAUUCAACUUUUAACCUAUUUUAGGUAAUUAAACAAAUUCAACAUGCAAUUAACUAAUUAAAAUCACUUUAAAGGAAUUAAAACCGACUGCUAUGCUUUUAAAAUAUUGGCCUAAUCACAUAAUUGAUGAAUUUAAAAUCUCAACUAAUCUAAAACAUGCUAAACAUACGAAAAGGCAUACUAGCAGUAAACAUAUUGAUCACCCUUAGAAUAACUAUCAAUUGAUUGAUUUUAACAAAAGUUGAAGCAAAUACUAAAACAUGUUGUUAAUUUUGAAAUAAACCUAGUAUCUAACAUGUAACACAAUGUCAACCUAUGCACCUAAAAUAAUCAGUAAUCAAAGAAAUGAAAAGAAGAUUACCCCUUGUCGAAAAGGUUGGCCCAAAAAAAGAUAUCCGGCUAACAACCCGCAAAAGGAGCCGACAUUAUGGAGAUUCGAUAGAUGGCCCCGACAUAAAUUAAAUUAACAUAAAUAGAUUGCUCUUGUCAAAGCAAUAGAUUUGUGUGAGUUUGAAACAAAAUCGACUCGACUUAACGAGAAAAAACAACAAAAGCUUGAUCUAGGAUUUUUGGGAUUCUAUGAUUUGAAAUUCUUGGAGCUUGGGUAGUUUUCUGGGGAAAUUAGUGAGACUGGGGACGAGGGUGGCAUGGAGAUUGUAAGGUGUUAAUUUAGGGGUGUUUGGGGGUUGUGUCGCCGCUGUAGGCGAUUUCCAGCGGCGAUAUAAAGCUGAGGGUGAGAGAGGGAGACGAGAGGGGUAUGGGCUGGGUUUCUAUGGUUUUCGGGAGGGGGGAUCUUAAAGAAAUUUAUGGGAGGGUAGCAUUGAGUUGUGAACCGUUAGAUCUAAGAUAAUCAAUAGUGGGGAUUACGCGUU